rnacentral:rRNA from 1 species
UGCAGUCGAACGGCAGCACGGGUGCUUGCACCUGGUGGCGAGUGGCGUACGGGUGAGUAAUAUAUCGGAACGUGCCCUAGAGUGGGGGAUAACGUAGCGAAAGUUACGCUAAUACCGCAUACGAUCUAUGGAUGAAAGUGGGGGAUCGCAAGACCUCAUGCUCCUGGAGCGGCCGAUAUCUGAUUAGCUAGUUGGUAGGGUAAAAGCCUACCAAGGCGACGAUCAGUAGCUGGUCUGAGAGGACGACCAGCCACACUGGGACUGAGACACGGCCCAGACUCCUACGGGAGGCAGCAGUGGGGAAUUUUGGACAAUGGGGGAAACCCUGAUCCAGCAAUGCCGCGUGUGUGAAGAAGGCCUUCGGGUUGUAAAGCACUUUUGUCAGGAACGAAACGGUGGGGGCUAAUACCUCCUGCUAAUGACGGUACCUGAAGAAUAAGCACCGGCUAACUACGUGCCAGCAGCCGCGGUAAUACGUAGGGUGCGAGCGUUAAUCGGAAUUACUGGGCGUAAAGCGUGCGCAGGCGGUUGUGCAAGACAGAUGUGAAAUCCCCGGGCUUAACCUGGGAAUUGCAUUUGUGACUGCACGGCUAGAGUGUGUCAGAGGGGGGUAGAAUUCCACGUGUAGCAGUGAAAUGCGUAGAUAUGUGGAGGAAUACCGAUGGCGAAGGCAGCCCCCUGGGAUAACACUGACGCUCAUGCACGAAAGCGUGGGGAGCAAACAGGAUUAGAUACCCUGGUAGUCCACGCCCUAAACGAUGUCUACUAGUUGUCGGGUCUUAAUUGACUUGGUAACGCAGCUAACGCGUGAAGUAGACCGCCUGGGGAGUACGGUCGCAAGAUUAAAACUCAAAGGAAUUGACGGGGACCCGCACAAGCGGUGGAUGAUGUGGAUUAAUUCGAUGCAACGCGAAAAACCUUACCUACCCUUGACAUGUACGGAACCCUGC